rnacentral:misc_RNA from 1 species
AUUUUUUUUUACAGAAGAACAUCUACUUGCUUUAUUUUCCAAACAUGUAUAUGCACAUAUAUUGUACUUAAAGAAUUUUUUUGACGUUAUAGACAAUUGCAGGAGCAUUCAUAUGUAAUUAAAAUAACAAAUAUUUCUAUGAUGCCAGAGAAUUAUCAUUGUAUCAAUGCUCAACAAAUCUGACAAGCCUCAACUUGAUGUAUCAGUUUUGGUUUCCUCAAGCUCAAGAACAGCAUUAAAUCCAAAAGCAUUUCCUGGUGAGAACAAUUUCUUGAGUUCUUCUGCCUUUUGGAUAGUGUUAACUUUGUUGUCCUUCACAUUCAGAUUUUCCUGUUUUAAAAGGAGAAACUUAAUAUUCAUUUCAGUUUCAUAAAAGCAAGCAUGCAAAGAUAGGUGAAAUGAAUUGCCUUCUUCACAUAAUUUGCAAUGGAUGAGGUAACUAUUUCUUGUAUCACAAAGUUGGUUACUCGCUCUUCACCAAGAAUCUGUAGGAGGAAAUCCCGUGGGACCUGUAGAAAUUAUGAGUGAGCUAUUUCAGAACAAGAAAUUAAAAUGCUUAAUGAGGCAAUUUUCUUUAGGAUAAAAUGCCAGACGUCUUGCAUAAAAUUUUCUUUACUGGUUUGAAAAAUGAGAAACAAAUAAAAAUUAAAUGAUACUUUAUUCCAUGUCCCUGCCACAUUCCAUGGUAUCUCCAGCAUAAAAUGCUCAGGGCAAUACGUGUGAGCACAGACAGCAGAAAUUCUAGCUAGUCUACUUGGAGAUUAGAUUCUUGUCAAAUCAAAACAUUUAAAUAAAGAAGGAAAAUUGGGAGUUACUGAAACUGCUCAAAUACAAAUUCUCAUGCAUAAUAUCAAAUGCAUAAUGUUUCAAGGCCUGUGAUACCCUAUCUUUGAGUUUCUCUAAUCUCAAUACAGGCUACAAAACUAUUAAAUGUGACUGUAGUCUGUGUCUCUAAGAUCAAAUAUGAAAACAUUUUUCAUUCUCAAAUGAAAAUCAGGCAGGCAUCCAUUAUUUCCCAAAUUGCAAGAUAAAGGACAAACAAGCUUCAUUUUUGUACAGGAGCACCUAUAGUGAGCAACUUUGUCUACAGACAGUCUUUGCAAUAAUAGAUAAAGCAGCUGGAAGGCUUGAAUUCGAGGAAGGGACCUAAGGGAAAGAGACUUGCAAGUUUACCAGGUCAUCACUUUAUGGAAAGAGUUGAUAAAUUUACUGCAUUUUUAUGAUUGUAGGGAAUGGAUUACUAUCUAUAUAUAUUAUAUAUAUAUACACACAAGGCAAACUAGAGAAGUCAUUCUUUUUCGUUGAACUUUGAUGGCCAAUUCAAUAACAUCAACACCUAGGAUAUCAGAUUACAAGCAUGUAUCUGUAAUAUUUUGGUGAUAGAAGCUAAUACAGAUAAAAAUGCAUUCCUCUCUGUUUCACAAUUCUAUAAGAAUCUAAUGGCAUGUUUUCUGUAGAAGAUCCAAACACACUGAACUUGUUUGUUUAUAGAGUACAAACUUAAACUUUCAGAAGGCAAUGAAACCAUGGUUUGAACUUCCUUAAUGUUUUGAAUACAUAAUUUCAUUGCCAAGUGAUUAUGAUGUAUGCAGUCUGGACUCUGGCGGAAAUAAAGAAUUAAACUACUUACCUUUGAUGUUUUUCCUGGAUUAGCCCCAAGAUACAUGCAAAAAUACAAGUAAAUAAACUAAACUGGUUAGAAUUCAAAGUUUGAUAAAUUCACAAGCCGCACAAGACAAAAAAUAUAUGAACCAAGUGAGAAUGUUAACGAGAUGAGAAAAACAUCUAACAGCUAAGCUGCUUAUACUUCUCAUUUAGCAAACAGAUUGACCUGCUUGAGCAACAUUAUCAUCCGGACUCAGCAGCUAAACUUAAAAAAAAAAAUCCAAAGGCAAGAUGAAAUAGCAUGUCUUACCUCCCUUUUGCCUUCGAAACCCAGGAAUUGGUGGCGCCGAGCGACCCAAAUCUAUCAAAACCUUAUCAAACACCUUUUGUGUCUCAUCUCCAGGCAAGUCCACUCUUAGCUGAAUCUUGUUUUCUUCCUUGGACUCUAGCACUACUUGAGCGUUUUUCAAGGUUAUUGCAUUGUCCUUAGGAUCUGUAAUCGACGCCUCUAACCCUGAGCCAACGGCAGACAGAGGCUUGCCCACAUGCUCAAGAACCCUUCUCUCCUUGGGAUUAGAAGAGAAUGAAAACCUCAAAUCAAGGCUUGCUGGGGAGGUGGCGGUGGUGAUGCUCCUAUGGGUAGAAACGUAACUGCAGGAGCAGUAGCUUCUCAGGGGAAAAAUCGUUGACAAUGACGCCAUGCCUCUUGUGUUCUCUAAGCUGUACUG